AAUUUCGGUGCUCAAUAGAAACGUUUGAGAUUCUCGAACAAUUUUAAGCGAUCGAAAAAUCUGUUCAUCGAAAAAGAAAAACAAAGAAAAAAAAGAGAGAGAAAAUCAAAAGAAGAAGAUUCUCGUGCACUUUGUUCUUAACUUGCAUCUUUAUUACGCAUUGCUAGGGGUUUUUCGGCGAAGCUGAGGUGUUUGUGACUUGUGAGUGGUUAAAUUUUAGAAAAAAAACAAUGAACGAUCAGUCUCAAAUGAUGAAUCAGCAUCAGAUGAUGAAUCAACCGCAAAUGGUGAAUCAACAGCCGCCGCAGAUGCCGCCGCCGUCAACGCAAGCUCAGAUGGUCAAUCAGCUUAAUCAGAUUAGUCAGAUGGUUAAUCAAGCUCAAGCUCAAGCUCAAAUGGUGGCUAAUCAGCCGAAGAUGAUGGUUAGUCAGAACUAUGGUCAGUGGUCACAACCCCCUCAUUCAAUGCCUCCUCCAAUGAAUGCUAUGAAUUUCCCCAACCCUAUGAAUCAAAUGUAUGGUGGAAUAGCGAAACCUGGGCGUAGUAGUAACAAUAACAAUUGGAAGGGAAAGAAACCCAUGGAUAAGAGGAAAGAUGGUAGGAGGAAGGAUAAUAAUAACAAUAUUAAAGCAUUGUCUGGUGGUGUUGGUGUUGGUGGAUUGCCUUCGGUCGGCCUGGGUGGUGGUGUAAGUUACCAGCCACCGACUCUUUUUGAACUUGAACAGCAGAAUCGACUGAAGGCGAGGAGGUUUUACCACCCUAAGAAGAAAUUUAAUAGAAUGGGACCUUAUGCUCAUGCUCCUAGAAAUACUACCUCGUAUAUAAUUCGAGCGAAGAAGUCUGGUGGGAUUGCUUCAUUGGUUUCUCCUUGCCCUGUGACUCCUGCGGUGUUGCCUACACCGGUAUUCUCACCCUCGAGGGAGGCUUUGGUUGAUAUGGCUAAGGAAGAGUGGGGGGUUGAUGGGUACGGGUCGAUGAAAGGGUUGAUUAGGCUUAGGUCACCAGGACAUGAUGAGGCAGUGGAUGAUUAUGAUGAAGAGGAUGAUGGGGGGUCCAGUGAGAGUGAUGUGGAGGAGCAUGUGGAGGUUGAGAGAAGGUUAGACCAUGAUUUGAGUCGGUUUGAGAUGAUUUACCCAAACAGUGGUGACUACCACAAUGUGUUGGAGAAUAGAGUUGAUGAUCAGGAUACCCAUAUUGCACAACUGGAGGAGGAAAAUCUGAUUCUUAAGGAAAGGCUUUACUUGAUGGAGAGGGAGCUUGGAGAGCUGAGGAGAAGGUUGUUAUGUCUUGAGAGGCAGAAUCAAGUUGUGGAAGAUAUUCAUGAAGAGGUCGUGGAAACUGUUUCUGAGAAUGAUAGUGAAGGAUUCAGAAAUAUUCCUUUACUUGAUAGCAAGCACAAUGAGGAAGUGGAUUUUGUGCCUGGAAAUGGGGCUGGAGAUCAUGAAGCAAGAAGGGAUGACAGUGGUGAGACGCUGCACAAAGAACUCAAGGAGCUUGUCGUUGACGAAGUGAUGGGUUGUCAUAGAACUGACAUUGGAUUGGAGGAGGAUAAGCAGGAUGAUGGGUUAGCUAAUGAUGGACUUGGGUAUAGGUUGAUGAUGGACAAUCACGAUGAAAAGCAUGAUAACGAAGUACUCAGGGAGUUGGGCAAAGGAGCAAGUGGACACCAGGAGCCUGGGAAUAAUAAGACUGAUGGUUCAUCUGUUGGAAUAGUUGUGGACAAUAUUGAUGUAGAUGUGAAAAGUCAAACUGUCGGAGAUGACUACAUGGGAGAAACUCUGUUGCAUGAAAUAAAUGAGAAUGGUAGGUCAGAGGGAGAGGUGAUGGAUAGAAAUGCGGUCAACUUCAAGCAAGAUGAGGUUGUGGUAGGUGAAGCAGUUGCAGUGUCAAGCAAUUAUGCAAUGGAUAAUGAAGGAGCUGGUGAUGUUUGCAUGAGUGAUGAUUUAACUAAUGACAAGGAGGUCAAGGAUGUUGAAUCUAGUGACCGAAGGAUGUAGGGUUGAAGCUCAGAGAUGAGCAUUGGCGACGGUGACUUUACAAUUUGUCCCGCGUUAAUCUGAGCAUUGGCCAUGAGUUGUUUUACGGCAGAUAUCAGAUGAAGAUGAAGAAUUACUGGUACGAUUCAAUACUUUGAUUCAUUAAUACACUCGUAUUAAGUGACUCUGCAGGUUUUUCAGGCGAGAUCUUUAAAGCUAAUAAGAAAGAUUUUUUUUCAUCAUACUGGACUUAAUCAUAGGUAACUGGGUUGAUUCUAGCAUUGAAGUCUACAGUGUAGCCUGAGAAUAUGCAGAUCAGUUGUUUAUAGAGCCCGCAAUCUGGAGAUGCUCCUUACAAUUGAACUGAGAUCCAGAAAUCAGAUUUUCCGUUUUCUUACUAGACAUUCCAGCAUAUUAGGAAGUUUUGUUACUUUUAUCCAGAGCACGAGAGGUGAAGCGUUGUCAUUUUGAAGAUUUUCUUGUUCGUUGUUCUUGUUUCUUGGCUUGGUAUUACAGAUCAUGGGCUCUUUCUAAUGUACAAGUUUCUAGUGUUGCUACAGACAUACUCCCAAACGAGUAAUGUGCUCUGCUGUGAAUUUGUGAUGCAGUUCAGCUCCUGAUUCUUUUUGGAUUAGCAUGGUAGAUUUAAGAUCAGUACGUUUGUCAGUAAUCACAAAUGAUUAGGUCAUUGAAUAUGUGAUUCGUUCGUCUGUAGAAUUAAGUAGAUAGGUGGAUCGAUGAAACUAUGUUGCUUUGUCUUCUGUCUUACGAGUUAGUUAUUUUUGUUUAUUCCUGUAAUAAGAUCGGAUUAGCUAAAAAUGGAAGUGUAAUAACUCAGUAUGUUGAUGCUAUUUUGGUUUAUUGCUCUUGUUGAGAUGAGAUCUUAUCAUCA